CGCACACAGAGUUUCUAAAUCUCUGGACACGUGCAGCUACUACCUGUGCUUCUUGGUAACUCCUGGCUGCGGGGGAGGCGGCUGAGAUUUGGCAACACGCACGCUUUUCCCAGAACCAGAGCUAGGAGGCGGUCUGGCGAGACCCAUACUCCAGAAACCCAGAGACGUGAGAAGCUAACUACGGUGCACAGGCCUCCCUGCGGCCGCUUCGCAGGAGGGCCGAGAGCCGCGUGGUGCAGCUGGCCAGAGUCCGCGCGGCGCCCACCACAGGUGGGCCCGGCCCGGCGCGCCACCGCGGGGUCCACGCCUCCAGCGCCCGCGUGGACGGGCGCUCCCAGCAACUCAGGGCCUAGCGCUAAGUUACCACCCAGGACCGCCCAAGGGUGAAAAGUGGGGCUCCUGGCACCGUACGGUGAGGGAAGCUUCAAAGACGGGGAAAACGGUCAUGUGGAACAAAAAUGUCCUCUACCCGCCAACAGUAAGCGGAGUGAAGAUCUCGAGACCUCCCACCCAAGGCCAGGGGGCGGGGCUCGCAUUUUACUUGAAGGAACUAUCAUCACAGAAGAGAUCAAAUCAGGGGCAGUAAAGAGCGGACUUCUCAGUGUCCAGGUUCGUUGUGUCCCGCACUCCUGACCCUACAAGGCCAACAAUCACCACUGCGCUCUCAGCUCAAGGAGAGGUUCUCGUUUUGGUUCCCGACCAGAAGAGUCCUUCGCUGCCACCCUUGAACCCGCUCCCCGCCAGACACUCACGCUGCCUGGGCUGGGGCCUCCAGUACUCUGACGACUUUUGAGAGAAGCAGAGAGGAUGCCGUCAGCCCACAGGAAAGGAGGAUGGCCGUGGAUAGAGAGUUAAAGCGCAGACAACACUUACUGUGCGGAGAACGCGGAACCAAGAUGGCGGCAGAAAGAGAGCGAGCGAGAGCGUGACCCACGCCUGUUGCAGAAGGAAGUCAGAUGCUCCCAACGCUGAACUGAAUUGUGAGACUUCUGGAAGCAUGUCUGAAGUUCUUCAUGAAUUGGUGAUGUGACAUUAAGGAACACAUUCAUUUAGGGCAUAUCAGCAAACUACUGAGUUUUUAGUAUGUAUUACCACAAAGAUAUACAAAACUUUCAUAUAUAAAAAUAUAUACACAUAUAUAUUGUUGUUUGUUUUGCUUUGUUUUUUGAGACAGGGUCUUGUUAUGCAGUUCAGGUUGACUCUGAACCAAACACGUAGCCCAGUCUGGCCUUGAACUCAUGAGAUCCUCCUGCCUUGGCGUCCUGAGUGCUAGGAUUACAGACAUGUGCCACACCUGGAAAAACUUACACAUUUAGAAAGAAGUUAUUUUUGUUUUGUGACAGGAUCUCACUAUGUAUUUCAGGCUGGCCUCCAACUUGUGGCAAUCUUGUUUUAGCCUUCUGAAUGCCAGAAUUACAGACAUGUGCAAUGGUGCCAAGCCACAUUUCUUAUGGCAUUCCAGAUUAGAGAUACAAAAAUGUAGAAAUACAAGAGAUAGUUUGUAUUUAGGCACAGUGGCAUGUGCCCAUAAUCCCAGCACUCGGGAGCCCAAGGCAGGAUUGCUGUGAGUUUGAGGCUAGCCUAGAAUACAUAGCAAGACCCUAUUUCAAAAACAAAGACAAACCAAGAGAUUUUGUAUAAAAAGAUUAAAUUUACACAUAAGCGCAUUUGUAAUAUUAUAAAUCAAUAUAACUUGCUCAUGUGGGAAUGGUUUCAGAAAAGGAUAUUCCCAGGAACAAGAGCUAAAAUCUUAUCCCAGCUUUCUUUAUUUUCAAGAAUGUCUUGAUCAACCAAUGCAUAUUCUUCAAAGUAUUUUUUAAUUAUGUGUAUAGAUCUUCUGUAGGAAUAACAAUAACAAAGUCCUGAUACUAUAAACAACAUAUAUAACUUUAGUUAUUGUUGUACUCGAGUGUGAGGCUACUGCUUAUUUUCUCUCAAUUUCUAGAACUGUGUAAGAUGGGAAUAAUAUCCCUUUGCUAGGCUAUGAGUUAAAUAAGACACUUAAAAGGGGAAAGAUACUAGUGUAGUAGCUGGCACAGGAUAUUCAAAAAAUCUUUACUUCUUUUUUAUUAUUUUUUUUCAAGAAAUGUUUACAUCUUAAACUCUAUAAUCAAGGUUAGUAGCAUCAUAAAAGUGUAACAGCAUAGAAAGUAAGUAAUCCACUGCAGCAUAUUAGUACUAGAAUUAGAAUGUGGGUUAGUCUAGUCUUCUCUGAAUUGCUUGCUUUAACAUUUCAAAUGUGUAGUGCUUGUACUUUGCAAAUACACUUAAUAUCUACUAUGCCCUUUAAUUUCUGCCAUAACUGUGAGAUGGGUACAGCAGAUGAUCUAUUCAUCAUAAAGAUAAGGAAAUGGAGGCUUAAAUACUUCAUCAGGUUCAUAGUAUAUAACAGAAUAGGGCCUUUUCUAAUGGAAUGCUUUUCCCAUUAUCCUAGAGAAGUACUGAAUUCAACAGAAAAAGCAUAGGCUUGGGGUUAAGCUCAAGAAUGCUAAAUGUAACAACUGUGUGAUACCAAGCAAAUGAUAUAAUCUCUCUAAAACUCACUUUCCUCAUUUGUAAAUGGAGUAUUGUCAUGUCUCUCAUGAAGCUGUUGUGAAGGCCAAAAUGAACAACUGUAGAAGCCAACAGGAUACUGCAGCAUAAUUAUGCACUCAGCUAACUGUAGCUAUUAUUAUAAAAUGCUACCCAGCUGUGAAAAUUGAUAGUAAGACAAUUCUGAAAGCACACGUAAGCAUAUUAGACACGACUUAAUUGCAGUCUUUUCCAACAGACCUGACAAAAGGGUGAAUUUUUUCACUUAGGUGAACUUUCUUUUUAACGUCCUGGCCACCCUAAAAAGUAAAACAUUAAAAAAGAACUUAUGUUUAUUGUUUGAUCAUUUUUUUCAUGCCUAUAUCUUCUAAACAACUACUUUGAAGAUAAUAAUAUGCAAUAUAUUAACCAUUGUAAAUGUCCUAUUAUUUUGUUUGGAAAUUCUGUAUCAUUUUUAUUUUUUGUUUUAAAACAAAACAACAAAAAGAAUUUACAUAUAUAUAAUAGAAUAAUUUAAUAUUUUCUUUGAGGUGUGUAUAAUUAUUACAUUUAGAAUUAUAUAACUUCUAGACAAAUUAAUCUUUAUUUAUUUAUUUAUUUUUGGUCUUUUUUUCAUUUUUAUUGGUACCGGGGAUUGAACUCACGACUGCCUGCUUGCAAGGCAGGUACUUAUGCCACUGAGCUAAAUCCCCAGCCCCUAAAUUAAUCUUUAUUAAUACAAUUUUUUUUUUUUUUUUUUUUUUAAGACAGGGUCUUGCUGUGUAGUUCAGGCUAGCCUCAAAUUUGCUAUAUAGCCUGGGCUGGCCUUGAACUUGUGAUCCAUUUGCCUCAAAAUAUCUUAAACAAUGCAUUAUUUUAAAAAAUUACUCCAUUAUUUUCUUAGAUGAGGUCUUGCUGUGUUGCUCAGGUUGUUCUCAAAUUCAUGGGCUCAAGUGAUUCUUUGUAAGGAGCCGCCAGAAAGACCCAUUGCUGCCUCACUGCCUCUCUCUCUCUCCUAUGGGCACAAUGCAUCUGCCUACAUUAACCAUAAUCUUCUCCUGCUUACGUCACAUACCCGGACAUGACAAUGACCCUGUUGUAUUCAUCCCCAUAGCCUCUUCCUGUCCCACCAGCCCGCCCUUUCCCUAUAAAAGAUGUAAUCACUUCUGGAAUAAAUGGGGGCUUGAUUGGACUCUC